rnacentral:tRNA from 1 species
CAUUAAGUGGCUGAAUAAUAAGCGUUGAUCUCUUAAAUCAAAUUAUAACACAUGUGUUCUUGAUGA